rnacentral:rRNA from 1 species
GACGAACCGAGCGAACGUUAUUCGGAAUCACUGGGCUUAAAGGGCGCGUAGGCGGGCGGCAAAGUCCGCGGUGAAAUCCUCCAGCUUAACUGGAGAACUGCCGCGGAUACUUGUCGCCUCGAGGAAGGUAGGGGCAUCUGGAACUGGUGGUGGAGCGGUGAAAUGCGAUGAUAUCAUCAGGAACUCCGGUGGCGAAGGCGAGAUGCUGGACCUUUUCUGACGCUGAGGCGCGAAAGCCAGGGGAGCAAACGGG